GGUUUGAUUCUGGCUCAGAUUGAACGCUGGCGGGAUGCUUUACACAUGCAAGUCGAACGGCAGCACGGACUUCGGUCUGGUGGCGAGUACGAACGGGUGAGUAAUGUAUCGGAACGCCUAGUAGUGGGGAUAACUACAGUAGCCAAUACCGCAUACUGCCCUUCGGGGAAAGCGGGGACCUUCGCCUCUUGCACUAUUAGAGCGGCCGAUAUCGGAUUAGCUAGUUGGUGGGUAACGGCUCACCAAGGCGACGAUCCGUAGCUGGUUUGAGAGGACGACCAGCCACACUGGGACUGAGACAGGCCCAGACUCCUACGGGAGGCAGCAGUGGGGAAUUUUGGACAAUGGGGAAACUCUGAUCCAGCCAUCCCGCGUGUGCGAUGAAGGCCUUCGGGUUGUAAAGCACUUUUGGCAGGAAAGAAACGGCACGGGAUAAUAAUUCCGUGCAACUGACGGUACCUGCAGAAUAAGCACCGGCUAACUACCGUGCCAGCAGCCGCGGUAAUACGUAAAGUGCAAGCGUUAAUCGGAAUUACUGGGCGUAAAGCGUGCGCAGGCGGUUCGGAAAGAAAGAUGAAACCCAGAGCUUAACUUUGGAACUGCAUUUUUAACUACCGAGCUAGAGUGUACAGAGGGAGGUGGAAUUCGCGUGUAGUAGUGAAAUGCGUAGAUAUGCGGAGGAACCGAUGGCGAAGGCAGCCUCCUGGGAUAACACUGACGCUCAUGCACGAAAAGGGGAGCAAACAGGGAUUAGAUACCCUGGUAGUCCACGCCCUAAACGAUGUCAACUAGCUGUUGGGGCCUUCGGGCCUUGGUAGCGCAGCUAACGCGUGAAGUUGACCGCCUGGGGAGUACGGUCGCAAGAUUAAAACUCAAAGGAAUUGACGGGGACCCGCACAAGCGGUGGAUGAUGUGGAUUAAUUGAUGCAACGCGAAAAACCUUACCUACCCUGACAUGUCUGGAAUCCCGAAGAGAUUUGGGAGUGCUGCAAGAGAACCGGAACACAGGUGCUGCAUGGCUGUCGUCAGCUCGUGUCGUGAGAUGUUGGGUUAAGUCCUCGCAACGAGCGCAACCCUUGUCAUUAGUUGCUACGAAAGGGCACUCUAAUGAGACUGCCGGUGACAAACCGGAGGAAGGUGGAUGACGUCAAGUCUCAUGGCCCUUAUGGGUAGGGCUUCACACGUCAUACAAUGGUCGGGACAGAGGGUCGCCAACCCGCGAGGGGAGCCAAUCCCAGAAACCCGGACUGCAGUCCGAUCGCAGUCUGCAACUCGACUGCGUGAAGUCGGAAUCGCUAGUAAUCGCGGAUCAGCAUGUCGCGGUGAAUAUUCCCGGGUCUUGUACACACCGCCCGUCACACCAUGGGAGUGGGUUUUUGACGAAGUAGUUAGCCUAACCGUAAGGAGGUACGAUUACCACGGUAGGAUUCAUGAUCAUGAAGUCCUGUAACAAGGUAA
rnacentral:rRNA from 1 species